AUAUUUUACAAGCUCUUCCAGAAAUGUUUAUACAAAGGAUUUAGAGGGUAACAAUGCAUGUGCUCUACAUAUUAAAACUGAAAGGUGCUACAAAUAAAUGGAUGUUACCCACAGUUAAGGGUUUGCACACUUGCUGAUGAACUUGAAGAUCUCCAAGUUUAUUAAGUCAUGGCUAACACAGUAUGAGUCUUUCUUAUAAAUAAGCCUCAAAAAGAAGGAAGGAAGGAAAAGAGGGAGGCAUGGAGAGAGAGAGGGAAGAAGGAAGGAAAAACUGGAUAGUUUCUAGAGGUAGACGUAUUGAUGCAACUGAAUGGGCUUAGUAAAUUAAUUUUUCCAUCUUUAAUUUGGUACUAAUUGGCGAGUUAUCACUGAGUGAGCCUGUUGGUUCAUGGGUUUUAAAAGAAAAGUGAUAUAUUUUACUAAAGUGACAGAUUCAAUCAGUUCUGCCAGUAACACCAGUGAAGCUUAAAAAGCUUAUUAUGUUUUUAUAACCAAGGUCCAUGGAGCCACUAUUUGUCCAUGGUGGGGGGUGGUAUAAUAAGUCAGCUUGAGUCACCCAAAUAAAAUCUAAUAUUAGCUAGGGAGAAAAAAAGAUCCCCUGUAGGGUUAAUAGCUGAACUCUAUAGAGUUAGCUGUAGGUAAAAAUCUAGUUGUUCCUAAUAUUCUCUCCUGUGAUAAUUCCUAAAAGACCAAAAAAGUUAAAAUUUGUGGUUUAUUUGAUUGAGGCUUUUAAAGAGUAAGCUGAAAUAGAAGUUUUAAAAGUUGCAUCAUAAUUUCUCUAAAAUCUCUUAAAUUACUUGAAAGCAAAAUACAAAGAUUUGAGUGUUAUGAGUGAUUAUCUAUAAUACUCAUGAAAUGGAACAAGAAUCUUUACAUAGCAUUUUCUGGUAAUUAAGUAACUCUUUUAAUGUCCUAUACCUAUAUUUUGGGUUAUCUAAUAUUAUGGGAACCAAUUUUCAGUAAAGAUGAUCACUACUUGUAUUCUAGUUACUGCAGUUAAUUUGCUGGUUAAACUAGUUUAUAAAGAGAAAAAUUUUUUUUAAACAAAGACAGGAAAGCUACAUGCCAUGGUGCUUGGCUCUAUAGCCCCAGCUACUGGGGAGGAUCACUUGAGCCCAAGAGUUCAAGUUCAGCCCUGCCAACACUAUGAGACCCUAUCUCUGUAGGUGGGGGAAAAAAAGAUAAUCAAAAAAAUCAAAGUGAUUCUUACCUGUGCAUAGAAAUGUUAAAAAUAACACUUGACUAGGAUGGAAUCCACCCCCUUGGAAAAAUAGUUGUCUCUUUCAUCUCCAUGUUAUGUAAAAUAAUAUCAACUGUUUAACCCUUAUUAGUGAGAGAAUAUUAAGGCUGUUUAAAUCUAUGUAUAAUUAUUCCACAAUAAAGAGAAGGAGUUAGGAAACCAAAAGGGUUGCUUUUCUGGGUUGCUUGCUCGGUUGGUGUUUUAAGGGACCAUUACUUCUUUUUCUUCUGGUCACAGAAGAAAGGAUUACGAGACUGCACACCAAUAUCUUUAGAAGGUUGAUGUGAGCAAACAAGUUGAGAGAGGGAAGUACGAUAUUCUGGGCACCAAGUCCUGCAUGUUGCAGUUCCUCGAAAUCUCAUGCAGCUUAUGGAGCCAGCGCUCCAGAACACGGUGCCAAGGACCAAGAUGGCAUUAAGGAAUCUGCAGCAGCCCAGAGCCUCUGAUUUCCCCAUCUCUGGACACACAGAAGUGUAGUGCCUCAUCUGCCCCAGUAACUGGUAACAGCACCUCCUUGUUUAUGGUCAUGUUGAACUGAAGUGGAGGUUAAUUACCUACGUGUUGAUUAAUGAACAUUUUUGAGCAGUGAAAAUAGCCUGGCCUAAAAUUGCAUGCGAAAUCUGAGUAAGCCGCUGUUUCCCGCCUUACCCUCUCUUCUGAAGCAGGGAUGGUGAACGAGACAAGCUUCACACGUUGGAGCACGCUGAUGUCAUGACACUUCUGGCGCAGAGAUAUGAUAGGAUAAUCAGAUCACUUUUUUGUAUGCCCGAAUGACAUGAUUUUUCCAAGAACCAUUCCUGAGCCGCUCGUCCACUGGCAUUGACUAUUUCCAGUUAUGGGGGCUGGGGAGGGUGAUCAAACCUCUCAGAAUGUAAUAAUUCUUCUUAUGUCUCUGUUUUAUGUGCUUGUUUAGGCUAAACUCUAAAUGCAUUUUGGUUACUUUUGAAAGGACCUCUCCAGAAACAAGAAUGAUUGCCCAGCCUGAACCGAUUAGACCUUUCCAGCCUCAUUCUCCUAUAAAGAGAGAUUUUACAUAUAAAAUAAAAGUAAAAAUGUCCACCAGGCAGAAGCCAAUGUAAACAUUUUAAAACUUAUAGCUGAAACUAGCAAGCAGCUAUCAUUUGCCUUUACUUAACUUUCUCCUGCUCUAAGUUUGAUCCUAAGUGAGCCUAAAAGUCAACUGAUCAAUUCAACAGCAGUUGCAUUUUUCUCACUGGUAGAUUUGGGGUAAACUCUUGGGAGAGAUGCCUUUCAUUUCUAGUGGAUUACACUUCAGAAAAAAACUUAGGGCUGUGUUAUUUCAGUUGUUCUGGUACUGAAGUCAUGGACUCCUUUCUAAGAGUUUUGUUCCAGCUGCUGAUUUAUAGCACCCACCAGCUUCUGCUUUGCGUGUGCUUCCUCUAUGUCUUCCUUUUCUCAUUGGGUCUCUGGAAGAAAGAUCUGUCAGUAACGCAAUGAAAAUACUGCAUUGAGAUACAGACCUGUAAGUAGACUCCUCCAUGUUGAGCACUCUCACUCAGCUGCCCUUCUUUUAUCCGAGGCACAGAUCCCCUGGCUUGCAAGUAUGGUCUUUGACUUCGGUAACAAUUCUGUUUGAAAUGUUUCCAAUUACACACAAUAUUGGCGGCAUGUAGCAGCUGCAUGCCAAAAAGCAUUUCGAAGUGUGUUCCAAGAAUCAGGCUGUGAUUGCCUUUAAUUUAAAUAAAGGCUAUUUGGUUUCCUGUGAUUUUUUUUUUAUAACCACCUUUCCCCCCAUUUUUGUUGCCUUUAAAAAAAAAAAGUCUAAUAUAAAGUAGCCACCACUUAAUAUUGGCCCUAGUGUUCUAGGAUAGCCAUUUGCUUUGAGCAAGCACAACAAACUUUUUAAAUAAAGGAAUUUUAAAGAAACAUUGUAUAGGAGCUUGGAUUUCCCCAAAGAAGUAAAGGGGACAAGGUUAUCUUAUAGCAUAUUGUAAGUAGCUAAUGUUUUCAAGUUUGCCAUUCUCCCUCUUUAGGAACAUAUCAAUAUAAUUAUCUUUUUAGGUCAUUGGAGACCAUUUGGUAUACUUUUGUUUUUCAGAUUCCUGUAGUUUUCUUUUUAUGGGUCUAUGAAGAAGUGUUAUAAAAGAACAUUAAAAAGGCAGAGGGAUCUCAAUAAGAAUAUUCUUAAAAUGAGGGGUGGAGGGGAAUCAGCACAUAAUUUCACAAUUUUAUAGGAAGUAAACUCUCCAAAUUUGCCUCCUCUGUGGGCUGGAAAUCUCUGAACACUGAACCCUUUUUUUAAACCUUUUAAAACUGGUAGUUUAAAUCUUUUAAUAGCUACCAGAUAUAUUUGACUUAUUAGAUCUGAAAAUAAGAAAAUAUACAUUCUCAGGACUUGGAGUGAAUGGACAGGUAAUAGAACUGGGGAGUUCUGUUUCCAGGACAAUUUUGGCCCACCUGAAACAUAACACCGAGAGCUAGAGGGUAUCCAGUAGGUGAGGUGCUAAGAUGGUCCUAAUUAAGGUGUUUUCAUAUAGGCUCUUUCAAUCCUGGCAAAAACAUCCUACAGAAUAUAGUGCUUCUUUGGGUCAAACAGUAAUUGACUUGCAUAAAUGCCAACAUCUCUUCUGGCAUUUUUGGAAAUCUUCCAUCGUGUAAUAAAUAGUACUGUUUAAUCCAAAUUUGUAAAUGCCAUGUUUUAUGUAGCCCCUGUAGAGACAGCUGAAAUUAGCCCAUGCUGCCAGGGAUGAUUGAGAUCCUGGAGAUGAGGUGACUGCCCAAAUCCAAAGUACUACCAGUGACUAAUGCUAUUGGAGGCCUUGGAUGAAAUCUAGGAGGUGUGAGGUUAAGCUUAGCAUAGUAUUGUACUGUGAAGAAGUGCCCACCAAAUGAUACUUAGAGUUUUCCCUUAAAUCCACUUUAUCCUUGGAAAUUGUCUUUCCAUUAAGCAAACCUUCUUGGAGGAAAUUUGCUCCACUCAAGGUAAAAUGAGGUUAAUGUUAUUUUACCAGCCUAGCACCCUAGCUUGCCAGACACAUCCACCUUACCCAGGCCCAUUGCUAUAGAGACAAAACCCACAGUAACUAUGGUUGAAAUAGAAAGUCUAUUAAAACCUUUUUCUAUAUUGGCCAGCUCCUCUGCCCCAGUUAACAUGCUGCCUUCUGUGUAUACACACACACAGACACGUGCACACACACACACACACACACACACAGUUUCAAUCUAAUAAUAGUAAACUGCUGUAAGCCAUGUAUAUUUUCACCAACGGCAUUUGCACUUCUUUGGUUUAUCUCACUGAUAAGCAAAUAUUACGGCAAUUUUCUGAUGAAACUCAUAACUUGUUAACUCUAAUUGAUAUUUCCAACUAUCCUAUUUACAUGCGUGAAUAAUCUAAGUUCCUGAUUUGGACUCUGGAAAGGGGCUAGGUUUCAGGGGUGUUCAAUCUUUUGGCUUCUGUGGGCCACAUUGACAGAAGAUUGUCUUGGGCCACACGUAAAAUACACUAAAAUACUAACAAUGGCUGAUGAACUAAACAAAAAAAAAGAAAUCACACAAAAAAAUCUUGUAACGUUUUAAGAAAGUUUACAAAUUUGUGUUGGGCCACAUUCAAAGCCAUCCUGGGUGGCAUGUGGCCCUCGGGCCAUGGGUUGAACAAGCUUGCGCUAUGUAGCAUGGUAUUUUGUUUUGCUUUGAAAUAUCUCUUCCAAAUCAUUUGGAGAAUGUUAGAUUUUAUAUAAGAAUUCUGCUUAGCGUUAAUGUUGAAAUAUGUGUUAUAAUGUAUAUCAAAAAAAGAUGACAUUUUACAUUCUUCUGUGACUAUGUAAUUAAUAAGUAUGUUCAGUGCUUGAAGUGCAUGCAUGUUACCUAAUGUUUAGAAAGAGAUAAAGUCAGGUCUGAAGUGCAUUAGAGAAUCACAGAUGUUUCUUGUAAGAGAAUACAUACGCUUCUUAGGAAUUUCGAACUGCUUUCUGAUGCUAAGCUUUGUUCACUGCAAGGAUCCUAUGAAUAAUUUCAUUGAGUUGUUCCAGUUCUUAUUUACACAAGCCUUGAGAAAGGAGCUGAAGUGAUAAAUAACUUGCCCCCCUCACCUAGUUCUGAAUUGCUUUAGCCUUUUAUGUUUCAUGUGAAUGUGAAAGGAGAGAAUAAAAUAUACAGAGAAGAUGUUUGUGUUUAACUAACUUAAUCAUACAAGUUCCCUUUGUGGGCCUUCUAUAAGCUUAAACAGCUUGGCAGGCUAAUAGCCAAAAACAUGUCCUCAAGUACUGCCAAAAGUGUUAAAAGCAGACCCGGCUUUCUCCAUAUUGAAGUACUGGGAACAUAUUUUUUUUAACCUUCUGAAUUUUAAGGGAUAAAUCAGAAAAAUCACUCUUUUUUUCCUCCCCCUCCUUACCCAUGGAAACCAAAAUUAUUAUUCAUAGCAGUGCUGAAAUGAGAAACUGAUAGGAGUUAUGAUUUUUCUGUGAGAAUGUUUUAAACUAGCCUGAUUUGGCUGUUUAGGCAGGAAGCAACCAGGUUAUGACAGUAUAUGAUGGGUCUUUUUUUGUUACUGUUUGUGCUGCGUGUAGAUACUGACUUCUUUGCUUUAGUUUCAUAACUUUUUUUUUUUUUUUUUUUGAGAUGGAGUCUCCCUCUAUUGCCCAGGCUGGAGUGCAGUUGUGCGAUCUUGGCUCACUGCAACCUCUGCUUCCUGGGUUCAAGAGAUUCUCCUGCUUGAGCCUCCCAAGUAGCUGGGAUUGCAUGCACACACCACUACGCCUGGAUAAUUUUUGUAUUUUUAGUGGAGCCGGGGUUUUACCAUGUUGGCCACACUGGUCUUGAACUCCUGACCUCAAGUGAUCCACCGGUCUCGGCCUCCCAAAGUGCUGAGAUUACAGGGGUGAGCCACUGCACCUGGCCUCGUUCCAUAACUUUUAAUGAAAUACUUUGCCCAUUUAUCCUGUCUUUUCUCAAGUAGAGAUCCCAACAUAGACAGUAGUGGAAGGAAGUGCUAUAAUAGUACAGAAAAGGUCAGUUUUCUUUUUAACAGUUUUUUGGAUUAAAACCAGAAAACUCAAACUAGUACAAUAACUGUGUGAUUUGGGGCCAGUCUCUCAGCCUCUCUGGGCUUCAGUUUCUUCAUAUAUAAAAUGAGAGAAUUAGACUAGAUCAGUGCAUAUUAAUCAAAGGACUGAAUCACAUACAUCUAUGGUGCCUUUCAAAAUACAAAUACCCAGAUUUUAAUGCAGUGGGUUUGGGGGGCAGUCUUGCACUUUUAGCUUGAACAAGCUCGAGCCAUUAAAUUAGAUGAUGUCUAAGGUAUCCUUCUCACUCAAAACUGUGUUUCUAAUCCUACUAGGCUGAAUUAUCUGCCUACCUGCCUUUCUUGUUUUUUCUUUCCUUUUCCUUUCCCUCCCUUCCUCACUCUUUCCCUCCCUUUCUGCCUCCUUCCAUCAUUCCUUCCUUCCUUCCCUCCCUUCUUCCUUUUCUCCCCUAGUCCUUCCUUCCUUCUGUCCUUACUUUCUUCCUUUCUCUUUUGUUCAUUCAUUCACUCUUAAUGACUGCUUUUAUUCCUUAAAAGUAGUCAUUGAUAUUUUGCUGUCAAAAUAUUAUAGAUGUCAUUUUAGCCUGGAAAUGAACAUCUGUGUUCUGUGCCUGUGAGUAGAUGCUAAUCACAAGGAACCAUGUUUGUUCACCAUUGCAUACCCCAUGCUGACACGUGCCUGGCGCAUAGUAGACACUUGACAAAUACAGGGAGACCAAGAAGUCAAGAAACUUAAAAAUAUAUAUACUGUUAUGUUUACAGAUAAUAUCCUCAAUAUAUAUUUUGUCAACUUCCAAAUGCCUCUCACACAAAGUAUCUCCAAAUUUAAAACAAUGAGCAUAAUUGUUUAUCUGAAAAAAAAACAUAAUAAAUACAUUGUUUUCCUUCAGUUUCCAGACUUUAGGCAUACUCCAUGGUACGUUUAUUGUGUUUUUCUCCAGGUUAACAACUGAUCUCAUUGCUUUACAUUUGAAAAUACUUCAACUGAAAACAUAGCUGGAAGUUGACAGAAAAAGAUGUUGAGCACAUUAUUCAAAAGUAUAAUUAACAUACUGUUGAAAAAUAAAUCGAUCCUGUGUUUCCUCACUUUUUGAGCAUCCAUAUUUGUUGAAUGAAUGAAUUUCAAUUUUCUGUGUCAAUUUAAGAAAUAUAAUAUGACCAAAUCAUUGUAAAGGUUUUAAAACAUAUCUGGGAUCAAGUAUGGUGACUCAUGCCUGUAAUCCCAAUACUUUGGGAGGCCAACGCAGGCAGAUCACCUGAGUUUAGGAAUUCGAGACCAGCCUGGCCAACAUGGUGAAACCCCGUCUCUACUAAAAAUACAAAAAAUUAGUGGGAGUGGUGGCAUGCACCGAUAGCCCCAGCUACUUGGGAGGCUGAGGCAGGAGAAUCACUUGAACCCAGGAGGUAGAGGUUGCAGUGAGCUGAGAUGGCGCUAUUGCAUUCCAGCCUGAGCAACAGAGCAAGACUCCAUCUCAAAUAUUAAUAAUGAUAGUAAUAAUAAAGAAGACAUAUGAUACCUACUUUCCUUGGUUUGUUGUUGUUGGUUGCCAUUUUGGAAGAGGUUUUUUGUUGUUUUGUUUGUUUUUUAAUUAAAAGAAGAACUUUAGGCCUAAAUUCUUGCACGACUUCCACUUCCACCCUUUUGGCUCUCUCAGCAGCACCAUGGCGGUUGGCAAGAACAAGUGCCUUAUGAAAGGUGGCAAAAAAGGGAGCCAAGAAGAAAGUGGUUGAUCCAUUUUCUCAGAAAGAUUGGUAUGAUGUGAAAGCACCCACUAUGUUCAAUUUGAGAAAUAUUGGAAAGAUACUAGUCACCAGGACCCAAGGAACCAAAAUUGCAUCUCAUGGCCUCAAGGAUCGAGUGUUUAAAGUUAGUCUUUCUGAUUUGCAGAGUGAUGAAGUUGCAUUUAGGAAAUCCAUGCUGAUUACCCAAGAUGUUCAUGGCAAACUCUGCCUGACUAACUUCCACUGCAUGGAUGUUACCCGUGGCAAACUAUGUUCCAUGGUCAAAAAAGUGGCAGACAAUGACUGAAGCUCAUGUUGAUGUCAAGACUACCAAUGGUUACUUGCUUCAACUGUUCUGUGUUGGUUUUAUUUAAAAAAUGCAACAAUCAGAUACGGAAGACCUCUUAUGCUCAGCACCAACAGGUCUGCCAAAUCCAGAAGAUGAUGAUGGAAAUCAUGACCCGAGAGGUGCAGACAAAUGACUUGAAAGAAGUGGUCGAUAAAUUGAUUCCAGACAGCAUGGGAAAAGACAUAGAAAAGGCUUGCCAAUCUAUUUAUCCUCUCCAUCAUGUCUUUGUUAGAAAAGUAAAAAUGCUGAAGAAGCCCAAGUUUGAAUUGGGAAACCUCAUGGCGCUUCAUGCUGAAGGCAGUAGUUCUGGAAAAGCCACUGGGGAUGAGACAUUGCUAAAGUUGAACGAGCUGAUGGAUAUGAAUCACCUGUCCAAGAAUUUGUUUAAAGUUCAGACUUAUAAUAGUGGCAAAUAAAAAGUCUUAUUUGUGGGGAAAAAAAAAAAAAGAAGAACUUUAAAACUCACCAUUCUGAAAUCUGGCUAACUAUCCAAUUUCCUUUGAAAUUUUACACUGUAUAGACACGGCCAGUGGCAAAAUCAGCUAGCUUUAGCACCUUCUUUCUACAGUACGCCCCUUGCCAAAUCAAAUAAUCAGGGUCUCAGAAUGGAAAAUUCUACCUGAAUUUUCUACCUGGGUUGUUUGCACAUAUCACUGGAAAACUCUCUUUUAGUUAUUAUGUGAAGAAAUACUGUGAGGCAUUUUAGGAAAAUACUUAACUGUAGCUAAACAGUUCAAGGAUCAUUUGAAAUAAAUUGAGAGCUGGUUCAAAGUAUUGUAUAAAGCCUUAUAUUUGCAGAUUUAACUUUCCUGAAGUUUCACAGCAAAUCUCCUUGUUUGUGCUGAACUUUAAUAUUUUUAAAAAAGACAUGUGAGAUCACAGCUCACUCUGUCCUUUCAGAUCUCUGCUCAAAAGUCAUCUGAUUUCAGAGAGCCUUCCGUGGUCACCCUGUAAAAAACAGCAGCAUCCCUGCUUUUCCUGAGUCACCAUCCAGCACCCCUCAAUCCUCUUAAGCUUUUGUACUUUUUUUCACAGCACUAUUAGAUAUUUAUUGUGAUAGCUACCUGUUCCCUGAAGAUGCCUCUAUACUGUUUCAUCUACUUCCAUUUUAAUGUUGUAUAUAAAAUAAAGACAAGGCCAGGAGCAAUGGCUCAUGCCUGUAAGCCCAGCACUUUGGGAAGCUGAGGCAGGUGGAUCACCUGAGGUCAGGAGUUCAAGACCAGCCUGGCUAACAUGGUGAAACCUGGUUUCUACUGAAAAUACAAAAAAUUAGCCUGGCAUGGUGGCGCGUGCCUAUAAUCCCAGCUACCCUGGAGGCUGAGGUAGGAGAAUCACUUGAAUCCGGGAGGCAGAGGUUGCCGUGAGCCAAGAUCUUGCCAUUUCACUCCAGCUUUGGCAACAAGAGCAAAACUCCAUCUCAAAAAAAAAUAAAAUAAAGGCAAAUAGUAACCAGUAUUCUGUUUUUAUCUAAAAUUUUUUAGAAAGGAGACAGAGAUAUUUUAUUUGGAGAAUUUUGUGGUUUUAUUAUGUUUUUUCUCCCUGGCUGAAGUGUAGUUUCUCAGCUGUUUACUCUUUUAUUUAAAUAAAGCCAGAGGUAGCUUGAUGGAAAUAGCGUUGAUUCUGUAAAUUACUUUGGGCAAUAUAAAUUGUUCUACUAUAAGGACACAUGCACACGAAUGUUCAUUGCAGCACUGUUUACAAUAGCAAAGACCCGGAAUCAACUCAAAUGCCCAUUGACGAUAGACUGGAUUGGGAAAAUGUGGCACAUAUACACCAUGGAAUAUUAUGCAGCAAUCAGAAAUGAUGAGUUCAUGUCGUUUGUAGGGACAUGGAUGAAUCUGGAGAACAUCAUUCUCAGCAAACUGACACAAGAACAGAAAAUGAAAUACCGCAUAUUCUCACUCAUAGGCAGGUGAUGAAAUAUGAGAACACAUGGACACAGGGAGGGGAGUACUAAACACUGGGGUCUGUUGGGGGGAAAAGGGGAGGGCCAGCGGCAGGGGGGAGCUGGGAAGGGAUAGCCUGGGGAGAAAUGCCAAAUGUGGGUGAAGGGGAGAAGGAAGCAAAACACAUUGCCAUGGGUGUACCUAUGCAACUGUCUUGCAUGUUCUGCACAUGUACCCCAAAACCUAAAAUGCAAUAAAAAAUUUAAAAAAAUAAAAAAAUAAUAAUAAAUAAAUAAAUAAAGCCAGAGGAACGUGGCAGAAGAGGAGAAAAUAUGCUGGUCAAAUAACCUGCUUCCUUUUCCACACCCACACAUGACCAAUAAAAUAUAAUUGUCUAGCAAAGGGAUGCUAUAUUAAUAGAAGAUUGAAUAUUUGCAACAAGGAAGCUAUGUGACUUCCUUCUUCAUAAUACACCUAUGCCACUCUGUAACCUUAAAAAAUAGAGGUAGAAUCUUCAGAGAGGCUUGUGGUGUUGCCAUGUAUGUUAAACAUGGAUGACAGACUGUCUUUCACUUAAAAAAUCUCCUGAUUUAAAUUCUAGGGGUGAAAAGCUAAUCCUCAAAGUGAUUUCAGCCAGCUUGCUAGGAAACCUAGUUGCUUGAAAUUAUUAUUUUAAUGUCUCAAUUUCCAGAGCUAAAUUGGCAGUAAGUCAGUUUUCCUAUUAAAAAUCUGAGCCAACUUAUUUAUCCAGAAAUUACCAGUUUUAACUUGGGGGUUCUUUACUAUAAUAAGACUAAUACCUCCAAGGUACAUAAAACACUUUCAGAUUUAUCUCAUUUAUCUUCCUUGCAUCUUUGUGUGCAGGUCUAACCAAGGUUAUCCCAGUGUACUGAUGAGGAAACUGCCUCUUAGUUCAAGAUGCAGCUUCCUAAGGAGCUUCGGUUUGGCAGUUCCUAAACGAAGGAAUGUUUGCAGUUAAAUUUUUAGUAAGAAAAAAAAAUAGGAAGGGAAAGUAAGUAAGCACUUGCAGCUUAUCCAAAAUUGUUUGAUGAUGUUUUAUUGUUUCAUAAAUAUUGUUGUGCUUAUGUUUGUUCUAUAUUAAAUGCUUUUAGAUAAUUAUUGCAUCUCCCACUAAUAACAUGCAUGUGAUCUUGGAUGAGUCACAUAAUUUUCUGGACUUUUUAACCACUCUGUGCCUCAGUUUCCUCAAUUGUAAAGUGAGGAGGGCCUGGUGAUUUUUUAAGCUCAAAAUGUACUUGACUAUAAAAAUAGGGAGGUCAUAACUUCAGGGGGAUAGAUAAUAAAUAACAAAUGUGAGCUGGUAGUAUUAUUAUUAGUCUCAUCAUUCUCACUACCUGGAUCCCAAAUUGGAAUUUUUCUUUAACAGUCUACUCAAAAGUAUUCAUAUGAGCCAGGUGCAACUUAUAGCUUUAUUGAUUAUGCAGUGUGGCCAGUUAAAAUUCCAGAAUAGCUAUGUUUUAAAAACCUAAGAGAGUAUACACUUCCCCUGACCAAAAGUCUGGUUUAGUAGGUUACCUUAGAGUUCAAUAUGACAGCUAAAAAAGAAAAAAAUUGUGGUGAUAUUAAAGAGCAAAUUAUUAAUCUAAUGUUAUUACAAUAGUGGCAUAAAUAUGUUUAUACUAAAAAUUACAAAUGUGCCAAUUAUGUUUAUACCUGGGAAACAUGGAAAAUUUUAAAAGUAGUACUCAAACUAGCAUGUUCACUUGUAUCACCAGUGAUUAGAACUGUGUUUAAAAAUGUGCAUGCCCAUUGACCAAAUUGGAUUUAAUUUUGGGAGACUUAAAAAGGGUUUGCUGGAAAAUAAAAAUAACCUAACAUUCAUUUUAAUUGCAUUCCUAAUUUUUUUUUUUUUGAGACAGUCUCACUCUUUCACCUAGGCUGGAGUGCAGUGGUGCGAUCUCUGCUCACUGCAACCUCCACCUCUUAGGUUCAAGCGAUUCUCCUGCCUCAACUUACCGAUUAGCUGGGAUUACAGACGCACACCACCACACUCAGCUAAUUUUUUUUUUUUUUUAAUAGUGACAGGGUUUCACCUUGCUGGUCAGGCUGGUCUCGAACUCCUGGCCUAGUGAUCUGCAUACCUCAGUCUCCCAAAGUGCUGGGGUUAUAGGCAUGAGCCAUGACACCUGGUCCAUUUCUAAUAUUUUCAAUAACCAUAAUAACUUUCUUAUCUUCCAAACUCCCCAGAUAAAUGCUGGUAUAAAUAUGCAGUAAGUAGUGAAACUCUUCCUAUAUUAAUCUUUGAUAAUAUUAAUCUUUGAUAACACAUGUUGGCAUAUGUCACCAUACCUACUGGCCUGGAUGUUCCUUUUAGUAGCAUUGUAAUUAAUUAAAUCAUACACUUUUCAGCAAAUUCUUAGGACCUCAGGUCUUGUUCACAUUCUAAUUAGGCUGCACCCAAAGUUAAAAGAGGCCCCCCCAGGAAGCAUUAUACUAUCUGUAUUAUAUCUGAGAUUAAGUUUUUGAAUUGUUCAGAUGAACACAGCAGUGAGCCAUGGUGUGUUUCCCAGAAGAUUCAUAAGUGACUAUGAAAUGCUGUACCAAUAGGAAGAACUAAUAAAUGUGACAUUAAUAACCACCAGUUUGAAUCUGGGUCACUUCAACCAUGACUCAAAGAUCAAACGCUAUCAGAUGGUAAUGACUGUGUGAAAAUUCUGCAGGAAGGCAUUUCAUUUCUUAAUGACACGUUUGUGGGCCUUCUAAGUAGACUGUUAGAGGGUGGAACAGAAAUAAAGUCGCAUAUACCCCUUGGUAUGGAGGCCAGCGCUCCAGGGUAUAGUUGGCACACUUUUGCAGAGAUGCUUUAGGAGCAGUUCACGGUGUUUUCUGCUGUUCUCACUCCUUAAAUGCAUCUACAGAAUCUUUCAUCUUUUGCCUCUUUUCCUAACCAUUUAUUCACUUCAAAGUGAUGGGAGCUAUUUUGCAUAUUCUCUGCCUUCUUUUCUCUUCUCUGAAAUAUAAAGAGAAAUUGCACUUACAAAUCCAUGUUAACCAUUUAAUGUUAAGCUUUCCCAUUUUUAUUUCAAUUUGGGGGGAUGAUUUUCCUUUCAACACCCCUUUAUUGAGUGCCUUUGGCUUGCCUGGCAUUAAGGUAGGUUCUGGGAAUACAAACAUUACAUAGGAGUGGUUCAGUUUUUCAAGAGCUCAGCAUUGUGUAAGGGAGGAAGGCAUGUAAGCACUUACAGGCAAUAUAUUGUUGUAAAGGCAGGCAUAGAGAAAUGUACUGGAUAUAGCAGUAGCACAGAGGCAAAGCCUGAAGUUAUUUGUUUUGUGUGGACUACUAAGGAAGGCUUCAAAGAGGAAGAGACAACUGAGCUGGGUCUUAAUGACUAAAAUAGGGUUUUGGCCACGCCAUUAUCAGAAUGGCAGAAUGGGCCAGUUUAGGCAGAAGAAAAAGUGUAUACAAAGGCAGGAGCCAUUAGACAAGCAUGAUGCUUAGUGUACUGCAAGUCUUUUUCUUUAUUUUGAGACAGUCUCGCUCUGUCACCCAUGCUGGAGUGCAGUGGCGCCAUCUCAAGUCAUUGUAACCUUUGCCUCCCGGGUUCAAGUGAUUCUCCUGCCUCAGCCUCUUGAGUAGCUGGGAGUACAGCUGUGUGACACCACUGCCGGCUGAUUUUUAUAUUUUUAGUAGAGACAGGGUUUCACCAUGUUAAUCAGGCUGGUCACAAACUCCUGACCUCAGAUGAUCUGCCCGCCUUGGCCUCCCAAAGUACUGGGAUUACAGGCAUGAGCCACUGAACUGGGCUGGAAUUAUAAGUCUUCCUAUUUGGCCAUAAGAUGAAUUGUGCUCUUAGCUAUUGAUUGCCACCUUUGUAAAUCAGUUUAAAUCAGAAAUACGAUACGAAUUUUGGCAACUUUCAUUGUGAUUCUGUCUUUCUUCUCUGUGGCUGGCCUUAAGCUUCUGAGUAACAUAUCUGCUUUCCUUCUUAAAUAUUCCAUUUACUUGGCCAGCCUACCAGGUGUUUACACUUGUGUCUUUUCAUUGUUAGGUUGGUACAAUCUGAACUUAUUUACUCUUCAGUUUCACUGCCAGGUUGUAAUUUCAGCCUCAAGUGUUUAGACAACAUUAUAUAAUGAAUGUUAUACUUUUAUGACGUUUGCUUUAGUACUGUAAGAGCUUUCGAUGAAAGCUAAUGGUUGAAAAAAAAGAAAGAAGCCUGAAUGUCACCAAGUGGCCUCCAGAUGUGUUUUAUUGUGUUGGUAUCUCUGUUUUGUUUUCAUAAAACCUUUUUUUAGUCUUAAAAAAUAAAAUUAAAAAACCUUACCAAGCAGAAAUAGCAGACAAUAGUCUCAUAGGAGAUGAACUAUUUUCUUCAUUUCCUGAUUGUUAUGUCUUGAACUCCUGCUUAAAAAAACAGCCACAACAAAAACCUAUGAUUCAGCUGAUAAAAACCUCCACAACAAUAUAAAUACUGUACUUUUAAAAGCAAAUCAUGUUCGUUUGUUUUUUGAAGGUAAACUCACUUCUUAGGUUGAAAGGUUCUGCCUUCUUAGGCUGGAAGGGUCUGUUUUAAUAUGUGAUUCUUCAAUGUGGCAGUAUUAAAAUUAUGAUUUAACAUCUUUGAGAAUUUCUGCCAUCUAGUUGUUCACUGAGCAAUCAGUAUGUUUUCAGGCAGUCUGGCGUGUGAUAAAUAUUUUGUAGCAUAUGUGGCUGAACAUGCCAAUUUCAAAAAGCUUUACAAGCUUUAAUUAAUUUUCACAAUAACCAGAUGUACUUUGAUUUAUUGAUGGAAAGUCCACAGACAGUGGGGUUCCGAGUGUUGCCCACAUUCAUAUAGCAAAGUGGUUUUCAAACUAUUUUUUGUUGCUGAAUACUUUUCUCAAACACAAGAUUAUCUGGAACACUAGCAUGUAAAGUAGGAUUGCUUUUGUUGGGAGGUGGAAAGGAGUUUGCCAUAGGGCAGCCAUAUUUACAAACACACACACAUAUAAGAUGCCUAGUUACAGUUGAAUUUCAGAUAAAUAAUGACUAAUUUUUUAGUAUAUGUGUAUCCCAAAUAUUGCAUGUCCCCAAAAAGUUAUUGGCUGUCUAUCUGAAAUUCCAGUUGAACUGGGCAUCCUGUAUUUUACCUGGCAACCCUAAGCUGGUGGCCAUAACCCCAUCCCUCAGCUCCCUUUUCUCCUUCCAGCCAUGUGGGGUUCCUGGUUCCUUGAACACAGCUUGAAAAACCACAGACAGGAGAAGUCUAUACAAAUGCUGAUAAAUAAAUAACAGUAGAUUUUUCUUCUCAGUCCUAAAUUUAGACAAUAUUACCACUUCCUUGGCUCUGUUAGAGAACUUCACGAUGAUACAUACACCACCACACAUAAUAAUUUUAAAGAAAUAUUGCUCAGCCGGGUGCGGUGGCUCAUGCCUUGUAUUCCUACCACUUUGGGAGACCAAGGCGGCUGUAUCACUUGAGCCUAGGAGUUUGAGACCAGCCUGGGCAACAUGGUGAAAUCCCAUCUCUACAAAAAGUAGAAAAAUUAGCUGGGUGUGGCAACACCCACCUAUAGUCCCAGCUGUUCGGGAAGCCGAGGUGGGAGGAUUGAUUGAGACUGGGAUGGGAGAUGGAGGCCAUAGUGAACUGAAAUCUUGCCACUGCAUUCCAGCCUGGGCGACAGAGUGAGACCCUGUCUCAAAAUAAUAAUAAUAACGACACAAAAAGAAUUAUGCUUUUAUUCUUUGCUUUGCCUUUCUUUUACCUUAGAAUGAAAUACUUUCUCUCCCAAUCUUUGGGAAAAAAUGUUUAAAUUGCCUAUUUAUAGAAGCUAACACCUUAACUUCUGUUAGUUAAAGAGAAUGGAUAGUGUAAUCAGAAUUGCAGUUGGCCAAAUAGAAUCACUAGAGAGAAAAAUGAAGAGGAGUUUGUGAGUGUGCCUCUAAAGCAGCCCAACAUAGAAUUGUCUCACAUGGACCUCUCCUUGUCUGUUGGUCUGUUUGGCAAGCACAUCGUUUAGUGAUCCUGGCUUGAUGGCAGUGCCCAUUGAAGUGGUUCUGUUAUUUUGCUCUAAUAUUUUAAAGCAGCCCUCAGAUGUUACUCUCAUUUCUCAAGUCAACUACUCCACAGAGCAUUUUAUUUAGCCAUGAAAUUUUUCAGUGAAAAUGGGUACAGUCUGAUUAGCAAUCAGAAACAACUAAGUUUGUUUAGGCUGAAACAUUCCUCCAGUGCCCAAGGAACUCACUGGAUUAGUUGAUUUUUAACAGUUUUUUUUUUUUUAACAUACAAGAAACUGAGGACCGUAUCCUGGAUCUAAGGAAACCUAUGUGCUUUGGGUUUGAUGCUCUGCAUGGGGGACGUACUAACUCUAUGUAAGAUUUUGUAUUUGCAAAAUGUUAGUAGUGGUUUAUUUCCUGUUUGUUAAAAUAGGAAUGGGUAUAAUUUUAUUCUUUAAAAACAAUUCUUUUUUGAGACAGAGUCUUGCUCUAUUGCCCAGUCUGGAGCGCAGUGGUGCUGUCACAGCUCACUUGCCUUCCUGGGCUUAAGCAAUCCUGCCACCUCAGCCUACUGAGGAGCUAGGACUACAGGUGCAUGCCACCAUGCCUCGCUGAUUUUAUAUAUAUGUAUAUUUGUAGAAAUGAGGUCUCACUUCAUUGCCCAGGCUGGUCACAAACUCCUGGACUCAAAUGAGCUUUCCAACCCAGCCUUCCAAAAUGCUAGAAUUACAAAUAAAAUGAGCCUGAGCCUUCAUUUUAUUUUUUAUGCCGUUCUCGGUUUUUUCAAAAUGUGUGCUAUAAGCAUGUUAUUUUAAAAACAACAAGUAUUAGCAAUAUAGUUUAAACAAUGUUCUUGUGCUUAAAUGUUCCAAAGUAGAGAGAAAGAUCAUCUGGGAUGUUAAUAAUAAUUUUUUUAAAAACUGCAAAUGUUUACAUAUCUUUCAAGUUUAAUUGUAUUGUGAAAUCUGCCCAAUUGUUUAUCCUUAAAAUUUGUCUCUCAUUCAUUCAUUCAUUUAUACAUUCAACAAAUACUUAUUGAAGAAACAUAAUAUAGACAUAGUCCUUUAUAUUACAAGAAAGGGGUUAGAGGAAAAUGAAAGAUGUAACCCACAGUCUUCAUCCUUCAAGACUUCACUAUGUAGUGGGGCAGGGCUGGGGCAUGUACUCAUACAGGUACCCCUGAAAUGCGAAGAAAAGAUGAUUGGCCUCUAUAGCAAAUGAGCUCAUUGAUGCACAGUGAUGAUAAAUGACUUUCAUGAGGCUGUGUGUUACUAUCAGUACCAGAACACCCAGGACACCUGAAUUCCUAGUAGGGGUUCAUACUCCUGCAUCAUAAAAACGAGGGCAAGCUCCUGUCCGUGAGGUGGGUCUGUAAAGCCAUCACAAUCCCUGCUGGUUUCCAAGCCCAAGUCCUAGGACCAGGGAGUUCAUCUGCUUCCUCAGACAAGACCAGCCCCAAACUGGCCGCAGGGUGAGGCUAGGAUCUCCCCAGCUUUAACCAUAGCCUGUGUUUGUGCUGGACAGUGUCACCCUUCUAUAGGCUGGUUUCAAUGAUUUUGUUUUUUAGGUUUUUCUUUGUAGUCUCUUGGAGGAGACAAUAACCUAUUCCUGUAGGAGACAAUUUUAUUCCUGUAAUGCUUCUUCAUAAGACCCUUUUAUUAAUCUUUCGGUUUUUUUUACACUGAAACUCAUACAAAAUCUAUGAUAUAGAGCAGUCCAAAAUAGUUGCAUUUUUUUUCUUUUAUAAUAUUAACACGUGAAGAAAGUUACCAUUCAUUGUGUUUACCUCCUUUCACAGUUCAAAUCGGGUAAAUUUUAUUCUCAGUUUCUCAGUGGCUGGAUGAAGGCAGAAUUUGUGAGGCAGUUUGAAGGGAUUUGUGUAAUAAAGCCUAGAAAACUAAAAGUUUUGUAUUUGUUCAGACAACCUUUGGGGUCAAAGUUAAAUUCACACAAACUAUUGCAUAGUAAAUUAAACUGAGUUAUUGUUGACAUUAAUAUGUAAAUGCUUAUAAAAAUACCAGAUAUACAAAUAGUUGCUUUAAAAUAAAUUUUUUUCUUUAUUUUGAUUGGAUAUGUUAAAGGUUGUAUAAUAAUUUAAUAAUUUUCAAGAAUUUAUGAAUAUGGAACUUUUACUUUUUUUUUGAGACUAAGUUUUGCUCUGUUGUUCAGGCUGGAGUGCGGUGGUGCAAUCUCGGCUCACUGCAACCUCUGCCUCUCUGGUUCAAAUGAUUUUUCUGCCUCAGCCUUCUGAUUAGCUGGGAUCUCAGCUGGGAUUACAGGCACCCACGACCAUGCCUGGAUAAUUUUUGUAUUUUUAGUAAACACAGGGUUUCUCCAUGUUGACCAGGCUGGUCUCAAAUUCCUGACCUAUGGUGAUCUACCCAUGUGGGCCUCCCAACAUGCCAUAAUUACAGGCAUGAGCCACCGUGCCUGGCCCAGGAAUUUUACUUUUAAGGCACACAUUUGAAUUUGGAAAUCCACUGAAGUAGCUAUGAAAGAACUUUCCUGAAGGAUUUAUUUUACUUACCAAUAAAUUAGGUGUUUUCUAGAAAGAGAAAUAUGGGUGCCAUUCAAAUUGCCUAAUUAUAAUUCUGUGAGCUGUUGAAAUCAAACAAAUGUCUUGAUCAGUUGAGCUGCCAGAUGGAAUUUUAUCUAAAACCAGUUCAGCUGCUUUCAUACUUUAGGACUUCUGUGAAUUUUAUCACAAAAUUACUUCAUACUCCAUUUGGAAGGUAGUUACUUAAGCACAGAGUAUGACAAUUGUUUAACAGUGCACAGUGAAACUUAAAUAAUUUAUGACUCAAGGAAGGGAGCUAUAUCUAAUUGAAACAUCUAGGGUAAUUCAGGUAGGUGGACAUAACCAGUCAGGUAUCGUGCACUGUUCCAAUUCGGAUUGGCUAAUGAGCCUGUAAGGCUGAGACGUACUUUGCCUUGCUUUUCUUGAAAGUUUACUUGGCCAUUAGCACAGUGCCACCUAACAUCACGCUGGGACAUUGAUUUUGAAUCGAUUCAGAAAGGAGUGCCAGGGGUCACUUAGUGACUAUCUAGUCAGUAGCAGGUGUCCGCUGCAGAUCUUUCAUUUCAGAGUCUGUGCUUUUUAGCUGAUGACAUAAUCUUUCAGCUAUACCAUCCCAAGCAGAAUUUCCCAGUGCCACGGUGCUCAUCUUAAACAUGAAGCCUGGUGGAGUGAUGUGUUCCCAUUAUUGAUCCAUCCGUUCCAGAGAUUAUGUCACCACAAAGGAGUUAAUUGGUCUCGUUUUGAGGGUCAUGUUUAAUUGCAUAGGUCAGCAAAGGAAGAUAAAUGACAGCUUCUUUCAGUCUGCCUCACUUUUUCUCUAAGACUGCUGAAACAGUGCAGUCGAUUCCCUUAAUCACCACAGCUGGCACCAUAAGAAUGACAUACAAACUGAAAAAGGUUACUGGUAUAUAAAAACCUGAGUUAAUGAGUCCAGAUAGUUAAAUAAAUAUAGAAUAUCCUUAAGCUGACUUGCUCACAGAAAUCUUUCCACAUCCAGCAGAAAGAAAGGAGGCACUAGAUGGCAGUCUUCAACAAACUUGAAAUGACAUUUCCUCUUAAAUGCACUACCUAAAAGCAGUCACUUUUGUUCUGAAUGAACUUAGGCUUGAACUCUAUGUCACAAAAAAAUGCAAAUCUAUGGGUAUCGUGUACUUUAAUGUCAUGUUAUAGAAUUUUGUUUCGAAAUGUAAAAUGAUUCCAUAUAUACUUCAAAGGUCCGUUGCUGAACUAAGUACUGAGUAUUUUAAUACCUGUUUUAACUUUACAUUUUAAAAUGCCAUUGGAGAGCUUUUUUCAGGAUGUAAUAACUAGAGAAAAAAUGAUGGUAUGUCCAUAAAAUGAAAAAUUAUGCAGCUGUCAAAAGUAAAGAUGUGAAGGUAAAGUAGUAUGAAAGGAUAUUAAGGACAUAUUUAGGUGGAAAAGGUAGAUUAUAGACCAGUAUAUAUAUGGCGUGAUCAUUAUUUUAUGGAAAAUCAUAUGCACACACUGUGUAUUGGUAUGUCUGUGUUGGUCUCUGAGAGAUGGGACUAUGGUUUAUGGAUUUUUUUCUUUCUUCUUAUCAGUUUUAUAUCAAAAAAAUACAUUUCAGUCGACACCAGAGACUACAAAAGGUGGGAGAGUAGAAGAGGGUUGCAGAAUGAGAAAUUACCUAUUGAGUACAAUGUUCACUAUUCAGAUGAUGGCUGCACUAAAAGCCCAGACUUCAUCACCUUGCAAUAUAUGCAUGUAAGAAAUCUGCACUUGUACCCCCUAAAUCUAUAAAAACAAGUUAAAUUAAAAGUAUAUUUCUUCUGAAUUAUAAUGGUUUUUAAGAUGUACACAAUAGAAUAAAAUUGCUUUGCUGAUCUCAGAUGAACUGUUUGAAAAUACUGCUUUCAGUUAUUUCGUUUUAUUUCUCAAGUGUAUUUAUCAACUUUACCCUAUGUGCUUUCUCAUGUUGCUCAGUUAGUAUUAACACCAUGAGAUUUUUGUUGUUUAAAAUAAUGUGGGCUGGGCAUGGUGGCUUAUGCCUGCAAUCUCAGCGCUUUGGGAGGCUAAGGUGGGAGGGUCACCUGAGCUCAGGAGUUUGAGACCAGCCUAGUCAACAUGGUGAAACCCAGUCUCUACAAGAAUAUACAAAAAUUAGCCAGGUGUGGUAGCAUGCACCUGUGGUCCCAGCUACUCGGGAGGCUGAGGUAGAAGGAUCACUUGAGCCUGAAAGGCAGAGGAUGCAGUGAGCUGAGAUCACACCACUGAGCUCCAGCCUGGGCUGUAGAGCCAGACCCCAUCUCAAAAAAAUAUGUAAAAUAAAAUAAAAUAAUGCAAAAAGUGAAAAUAAUGCUAUAUAUUAUAUAGCAUAGUGAAAAUAAUGCUGUAUAUUAGCAGAUCGUAGGCAGAUCUCAAGGAUGAUUUAUAUGUUAAUUUAUUUUCUUUAGUUUUAUAUCCAGGUAAGUAUUUAUUGGGCCAGAUUCCAUUCACAGUGAACAUUUAUGAAACACUAAAGAUGUGCAAAUUACACAUUAUCAGGAAUUAUAAAUAUUGGAUUGUGAAGAAAGAAAUGAAGGUUUUCAAGGGUUAUUUUUCUCCAUGAGCUAUCUUCAUCUGUCUGUAUGCGUGUGUGUUUAGAGAGGAAUGCAUAUCGCACCUAAAGAAGGUAAAGCUUAUACUUCUCAUCUUCUCUCUAGGACAUUGAUAUCUUUGCUCCUGUACUACAGUAGAGAAUAAUGUUAUUUGGGGAAAAAAAUUUAAGUAUUUUUUAAAAAUAACCACACACCAAAAAUUUCAUUCCAUUUGAGAAAUACUCCAGAAAUAAUCAUCUGGCAAGACUGAAAAUUUCUAUAACCGACUGUAUCGUAGUAGUCUUUUUUUUUUGAGACGGAGUUUUGCUCUUGUUACCCAGGCUGGAGUGCAGUGGCGCAAUCUCAGCUCACCGCAACCUCCGCCUCCUGGGUUCAAGCAAUUCUCCUGCCUCAGCCUCCAGAGUAGCUGGGACUACAGGCGUGCGCCACCAUGCCCAGCUAAUUUUUGUAUUUUUAGUACAGAUGGUGUUUCACCGUGUUGACCAGGAUGGUCUCGAUCUCUUGACCUCGUGAUCCACCCGCCUCAGCCUCCCAAACAAAGUGCUGGGAUUACAGGCGUGAGCCACCGCGCCCAGCGUUCCAUAGUAGUCUUUAUAAAGCAAGUUCACAAAGUGCAGCCCAUUCAUAAGGAGUCAGGGUGGACUUCUGGGGAAUAUUAGAGAUCAUUAAAAAGUAUAUCCUGCCCUUAAAAGAAUACCUGGCCCAGAAUGUGUAUUCAGGAACUAUUUGCUCAAUAAUUGAUAGUAUCCGUCAAGGAACUUUGAUCCAUCAAUAGAUCGUCUGGAUUGACAGCCUCUGUAUACUUGGCAUAAGGACCUUUAGAGGAAGGUGCAAAGGCUCAAUCUGCUGAUCUUUUUGUUAAGGUAUGUUGAUCCCCCUAUGAGGCCAGUUUAGUUCCAUUGUGAAUAAUUAUUUAAAAUAGUAAUAUUAAAUAAUCAAUAUUUAAUCAUUUCUUUGCCCUUCAUAUGUUUUAUUUUCUGCACUCUGAACUUUGAGGUCCUUGAGGAAAACAAUUGCAGUAUUAAGACUUUCUGUUUUAGAACCAAGCAUAUAAUAGUGGCUCAAAACUUCUUUCCUUGAUGAGUAAAUAAAUGUUUCUCAAGUGAAAAGUAGAGUUUAGGACACCAGACCCUGAUGAUGGUAUCAACCCCCGUGAGAGUCACUGUCUACUUCUUUAUCUCUGGUGCCUGCUUGAAAUAGCACAAAAUGUUUGAUGGACGGAAGAGAGGGAAAGAAAUUCAGGGUUUAAGAACACUUUUACAUACAUUCUCAUUUAAUCCUAAUAGAAAAUGUGUAGGUCAGUUGUCUCAUUUUAUAAGUGAAGAAACAGAUUCCAAAUGCUUGAGAGGAUCCCUGGUCACACAAUUAUUGAAUAUUAGCAGCCCUCUCAGAAUCCAGGUCUUCUUAUGCAGGUCUGGUCCACUCUACCAGCUUGCUUGAGGCCCGCAUUUGGAGUCCUCCCUGUCUCACAGCCACCUCCCCCUCCAGUUGCUGCUUGCCAGCCUCCAUCCUUCUCGGUUAGUAGCUUCAUCAACUACCGACUUAUUCAAACUAGAAACCUGUAUGUUAUCCUUAACUCCUUUUCUCAUUUCCACAUUCAUUCAACCAUGGGUUCCAGCUAGUUUGCCUCCUGGACAUUUCUGGAACCAGCUUCCCCCUUUUCUCCAUUCUUUCAGCCCAUUCAAUUACCCAGCUAAAUCCAGGCUUCUGGGCUCUUCCACAAAGCAGAGUGAUCUGUCCAAAAUGAGGAUCUCACGAUAUCACGUCUUUGUUCCAAAUGUGCUUCUGCUAAGAGCCCUCCACAGCCUGCUCUGCACCCCUGCAGGAACCUCCUGCCGGUUUCUCCCUGGCCUUUGAUCAUCUCGUCACAUAGGCUGGCUUCCAUUGUCCCAUAUCUUGCAGGGUGCAAUCACAUGUUUCCUCCCCCUCCUCCCAUCUCCAGUUCCUUGUUCUGGCUCAUUUUAGGAGAAUAUAGUAGUCACCGAAUCAGACUUCAAAGCAGGAGACUUGAAACAAAGCCCUUGCAGCUCCCAGAGGUCAGUGUGGUUCUUCCUUCAGUCCCUUAGCCCAGUGUGUCCUCAGCAUGCUCCUGUCUCACCAGCCUCUGGGAUCCUGACUGAGGUCAGUGCUGGUUUAUAAAGAGGAAAAGAGGCUGGGAGUGGUGGCACAUGUCUGUAAAAAUACAAAAUUAGCCAGGUGUGGUGGCACAUGCCUGUCAUCCCAACUGUUCGGGAGGCUGAGGCAGGAGAAUUGCUUGAACCCGGGAGGCGGACGUUGCAGUGAGCCGAGAUGGCGCCCUUGCACUCCAGCCUGGGCAAAAAGAGCGAAAUUCUGUCUCAAAAAAAAAAAAAAGAGAGAGAGAGAGAAAGAAGAUAGGGAAACUGGAUGUGGAUGAAAAGCAAUUAACAGAAGUAAAAAGCAGACGUAAACAAGUACACAAAACAAAUGGAUAAACUCAAAGGACUGGCCAAGCUCUAUAUGGCUGCUUUGGUUGUUGGGGGGAGUGAACCCAUAGAAAUGGUUUCCUUUUUGGUUACCUUUUCCCUGUCCCUGUGCCUUUUAAGGAUCUGCUGUUGAUUUCAUGCUGCUUUAUUAAGUGCCAGUUCAUCGUAGCCUUUAUCACCUUUGAAAAAGUACCGAUUUGGGGCAGGGGAUUGGGAGAGGACAGUUGCAUCCCACAUCCCCUGCUCUACUCUCCUUUUCCCCAAAAACACAGCCCCCUUGAGAGAAGUACUCUCUUAAGUUUCUUGGUUCUCAAUGUGACCCCAGACCCUUCCUCCAUCCACUGCUGUCCCCAAUCCCUCCAACUUGCCUGGGCUGACUAGCAUUUGAAGAACCCCUGUUUUAAAACUUCCAGAACUGAUGUCUGCCCCACUUCCCCUCUCCUCUCCUCAGGCUUCAGGCCAGAUGUUCUGUGCUGGCCAGGAUUCCCCAGCACUGGGACAGCCACUGCUCCCAGAACUCUGGGAAUUUCCACAGACAACUUAGAUUUCUGUGAAUCUGGGAACACAGUUAAGCUAUUAAUGUUUGUGUUUGUCCUUGAUUGCACAGACUCAGAUACCUAGGAAUAAUGUUUUUAAACAUGUGAUAUAUAUGCUAACUCUUUUUAGGAAUCUGUUUGCUUUCAGUUUGCUAAUACUAGUGUUCCUACCCCCACGCAUUUAAAUAAAUGCAAAUUAAAUGCAAGUUAAUCCCCUUUGCAAUAAUUGAGUUACUGUUCUUUAUUACCAGUGGUGUUGAGCUCUGCAUCUGGAUACACUACAGUAAGCAUAUCCUUUUGCUUUUGUUUACAUUCUACUAGGACUUAGGAAUCCAAAUAAUUCUGAGAUUGACCCAAAAAAUAAUAAUAAUUGAAUUCUUUUAGAACUAAGUCUUCCAAAAAUAUUUAGUCGAAUACCUCAGUGAAAUCUGAGAAAUGUUGGUAUUCCUAGAGUUUAAAAUACGACCUCAAGAAAGAUUUCAAUAGUGUUCUGGAAAGAGACAUUUUUCUUUUCCUUUUUUUUUUGACACGGAGUCUCAUUCUCUCACCAGGCUGGAGUGCAGUGGUGUGAUCUCGGCUCACUGCAACCUCCCCCUCCCGGGUUCAAAUGAUUCUCCUGCCUCAGCCUCCCAAGUAGCUGGGAGAUGGGAAUAGACAUGAGCCACCACACCCUGCUAAUUUUUUUGUAUUUUUAGUAGAGAUGGGGUUUCACUAUGUUGACCAGGAUGGCCUGUAUCUCUUGACCUCAUGAUCUGCCCUCCUCGGCCUCCUGAAGUGCUGGGAUUACAGGCAUGAGCUACUGUGCCUGGCCAGAAAGAGACAUUUUUCAUAGUGGGAGAAGGAUGGCAUGAUAAGUUUUCUUGAUGACAUUUUACUUUAGAAAUUACAUUCUGGUUUGUGCCCAUUAUCGCAACAUAAUCAUUAACUGUACCCAUUGUACUCUAAAAAUGUCCUGGUUUGCAUGAUAUAUUAUAUAUUUUCCCUGUCUGUACUUCAUGUAAAUAUUAAACGAUUGAUCAGGAUUUUUCUUCAUCUUGCAGAUACAUGCCACCAAAAAAGAUUCGUUUUUUUUUUAAACUCCAAUAUUAUGCAACAUUUAUAUGCCCACAAUAAUUAAACAUUUAAAAAUACUUCAGUAUGUAUGUGGUUUGAGAAAAAAUAAAUUAAUAUUUUUCUUACUCAUCCUGCUGGAAUUUUGCUUGCCACAGGCAGGUUUUGGUUUGUGGCAGUCAGUUAGCUCUUUAUCCAGAACCAUGAAAUUGUCCUGAUCACAAUUUAAAUUUUUAAAUUAAAUCUGUCAAAACUCUAAUGCAAGCUAUGUCUUUUUUACUGCCCAGUAUUUCUGGGCAGUAAUAAACUAUAGUUUCUUCCACCACUAUACAAUUUUUUUUCUUUUUAUUCUGUGAUUUAGAAUAUUGAAGCCACUCUUCAGAUAACGUUCACAUCUCUUCUCCACAUUACAAAGUCGAUGUUUAAAUUUUAUCUUUGUGCCUCUGUCUGCAGGUCUUUUGCUUUGCUUUGGUUCUUCCUUGUCAACUUAUUAUUGAAUCUUCACAUCUUCAGUUUUUUUUCUUAUAGUUAAUCAUUUCUCAUUUCUUUCAUCAUAUUAGUUUUAAGUUUUUCGCAUGCUUAAAGUCUCUUCCAGAGAUGCUUUGUUUUAGUAUUCACAGUAGUACUUUCUCAGCUGCUUUCAAUACAUCCACAACUUUUCUUACCUUCCUUUAGUUCUAAUGUGUUAAUAAUAUAUUUUGACACUGCCUUUUAAAAAAUGUUUAUUGAUAGCUUUUACAUCCUCAAAUUGAAUUCUGUUGUCUUUUACUCAAUCUCUAGUCAGGUUUCCUUCGCUGUCCUAAUCAUUCCUUUCAUACUAUUACCAUGUUAGCAUAUGCACUUUAAUUUUCUGCCUUUUUGCUGAUUUGAACGCAGGCACAGUGGCUCACACCUGUAAUCAUAGCACUUUUGGAGGCUGAGGUGGGUGAAUUGCCUGAGGUCAGGAGUUUAAGACCAGCCUGGCCAACAUCGUGAAACCCCGUCUCUACUAAAAAUACAAAAAUUAGCUGGGUGCGGUGGUACACACCUAUAAUCCCAGCUACUUAGGAGGCUGAGGCAGGAGAAUCGCUUGAACCUGGGAGGUGGAGAUUGCAGUAAGACAAGAUCAUGCCACUGCACUCCAGCCUGGGCAACAGAACAAAACUCUGUCUCAAAAAAAAAAAAGAAAAAAUGAGUGGAAUGUUACAUUUUCACUUAUUUUCUUUGGAGGAGUAGCCAUAAGAUGACAGCUCAAUGACUGACAAAUUCUCAGUGUGGUUUUUAAUUGGAAAUAUACCUUACCACUCUUAGACAUGACUUUUCAAAGUUACUGUACACAAGUAUUUCAUGGUUACUGUAUGUAAGCAUUGAGUCAUUAUCAUUAAAGAUGAACAUCGAAAAUGGAAAAUAAGUACAUUUCAUUGUACAUUCUGAUUAAGUCUCUGGUGAAGAUUGGUAACAGGCAUAUUAGCCUGUAAUUAAAACGAUUUUGAGCCUUUAAAACAAUAUGAUCUUUAAAUUUGAACCAAAUUAGUUUAUAAAUUCUUGGGCAGAAUAAACCUUCCUACAGUAAAUUACACAUUUGAAAACACAUAUUCAUAGACAAUAAAUGCCAUCAGUAAGCAACUCUAUGACUGUUACAAAACCCACAAUUGAGUAGAAAAAAAUAGUAUUCAAGAGAAAAACAUGGGUGGAGUAAUCAGAAAGUUUGGUAGAAGAAAGAAGGUCAGAGAAGUGACAGGGAGUGGUUAGAAAGGUCCAUUAGUGAAAAAUGCCAUUGUCUACUUGCUGCUUUUCUAUUGUGUUAUUUUUAAAAAUAGAUCUUUCCCUUACAAUACCCACAACAAAGGGAAAAGAGAAUAAAGGUUAUUACUAAAUAUAUAGUCCCUUGUUGGCUCAGUCUCCACUCCUGGUAUAGCAGAUGGCAGUUUAUUAUUAAUGGUAGACAUUUGAAGGGGUUGGUUUGUUGAAGUCUAACCUCUAAGUCACUUCCCUAACAUGAUUUUUAUAAUAUCUUCAAAAGUUUCUGUGGCUUAUCUUUUUUUAAUCUUGUCUGGAAUUGUGACAAAUGCCUCAGGGAAGAGGGAAGGUUAUAACCUGUCCUCAGAGAUUUAUAGCAUUUCAGGCAUCACAAAUCCUGUAAGACAUUUUUGUUCCUUUUGAGGAUAAGACUCUAUUAAUAAUUUUUAUGUUAUUAACCAAAGUUAACAAUAUGAUUACUAGUUAUCAGAACUCCCAAUAGAGCAUGUUUUGUUUUGUUUUUUCACGAAGAUGGGCUUUUGAGCUGCCAAGCUUAAGGGAUGAUUUUUUUCUAGAAUCAGAUGCACAUCCAUGUGGGCUCAUCUAACCUUAGUUGUGAAUCGUGGUAGCCAUACAUGAGGUAGGUUUGGGGAUACUUGUAUCAGCCAUGACAAAGAACAAAAGUAAAUACCUGCCUAGUCCAGAAUAAAAUAUAGAAAUAAUAAAUGCUAACUUUUAAUGGAAAAUUGGAUCACAUAUUCUCUCUCUUUCUGUUUCCACCCUGUCUAACAAAUAGUCCCAGAUAAUAGAAAUGGUAUAAGUUUGAAUACUCAUGUCAGGGAAUGUAAAUACCUAAAUAAUUAAUGGAGGCUGGGUGCGGUGGCUCACACCUGUAAACCUGCACUUUGCGAGGCACAAAUGGGUGGAUCACCUGAGGUCAGGAGUUCGAGACCAGCCUGACCAAUAUGGUGAAACCCUGUCUCUACUAAAAAUACAGCAAUUAGGUGGGCAUGGUGGGACUACAAGUCCCAGUUACUAGGAGGCUGAGACAGGAGAAUCGCUUGAACCCGGGAGGUAGAGGUUGCAGUGAGCCGAGAUGGUGCCAUUGCACUUCAACCUGGACGACAGAGCAAGACUGUGUCUUAAAAAAUAAUAAUAAUAAUUAAAGUAGAUUUUCCCAUUAUCUGUGGUAUCUAAAUAUUUAAUACUUUAAGUUUGAAGAGCUGGUUCCCGUUUGUUUCUUUUCCAGUAUACAGAGAACUUUUGGUUAGCAUGUUAAUUUUGUGAAAUAAUGUUUAGGGAACAUGAUAGGAUUGUUUCAUUUGCCUAUAAUUUCUGUAUCAUAUAAAACACCCUUGAGCACAGGCUCCGAACUUCACUCCUGGAUUGUAAGAUUCCUCAUUGUGAGAACUUGAUGAAGACACGUUUAAUCAAUCAAAUCAGGUAGAAUCAAGACCAGAGCCAAGGAAUAGGUCAGAUACCUGUAUUUAAAGUAAGAGAGACUAAACCAGGUGCAGUGGCUCACACCUGUAAUCCCAACGCUUUGGGAGGAUAAGGCAGACAAUUUGCUUGAGCCUAGGAGUUCCAGAUCAGCCUGGGCAAUAUAGUGAGGCACCUAUCUCUACCAAACAUAUAUAUAUAUAUAUAUAUAUAUAUUUGCUUGUUUUUAAUUUACUGGGGAUGGUGGCACGUGCCUGUAGUACCAGGUACUUGGGAGGCUGAGGUGGGAGGAUCACUUGAGCCCAGGAGUUUGAGGGUACAGUGAGCUAUGAUUGCAUCACUGCACUCUAGCCUGGGCAACAGAGCAAGACCCUGUCUCUGAAAAAAAAAUUUUUUUUAAUUAAAAAAAGAAACUAGGAUAUUUCCCUUAGCAUGGCAAGUUUUGAGUGGGCUUUACUUUGGUACAUGUUAAUUAGGAAGGUGGAGUUAAGCAUCUUGACGUCAAAGUAGCUCUUCUGCAUUCAAGGUCUCUCAGAGUUCAAAUGACUUAUACAGGUUAAUGUUGUUUUCGAAAAGCCACCAGGAAACAGUUUGAAAUGAGAUAUGAUGGUAGGGGCAGGAAGAAAAAGCGAUUUCUGUGUAAAAAUUCUGAUGCAUGCCUAGCCCUUCACAGAGGUCUGAGUUUACUGUCCUUUGAUUUUCUUUUUGGAAGUAGAAGUGCUCCUUUUUUAAACUCCUCGGUAAAUACAACCUCCUAAUUUUCUACAGAAAUCUACACUCCAUAUUGCAGCCUAAAAGCUAGGACUUGUAAAUGAAAAAUUUAUACAAUCAUGAAAUUUGGUUCACCUGCUUAAAUACCAGCUGUUCUUUUUUUUUAAUCUCCUGCCGGUUUACGAUUUGAUUGACUGCGGAAAAUUAACUAAUUCCGUAUACUUGCUCUUUGAACAGUGUCAUUUACUUUCUGAUUGUAGUGCCCCUUGGCUGAGGUUUAUACACUGUCAACCAUAAUUUUCAGCUCUAGCUCCUCUGCAAAAAAAAAUGAAGUUCUUUGAAAUAAAGUAAGGUCACUAAAGCCAAGAAAUAGCACUUUAUUACUUUCUCUAGAAGACUUUUAAAAGAAAGUGUUGCUUUGUAGUUUAGUAGCUCAAAGAUAGUGAGCUUGUGGUCCAGCACCCACUCACAGCUGGCAUCCACUGGCCCCGGGUAACGCCGGCCGGGGGACCCAGGCAAGCAGGGUCCUGUUGGAGACCUUCACUGCAUUUUCCACAGCAGCAUCGGAAUUUUCCUAAGGCAGUUUCACAUCUGGAAUUUUAAAGAAAGUUUGCCCUUCCAUAAAAUGGUAGUAAAUCUUAGGAAACAUUAUGCCUUUUUUGUUGUUGUUUUAAUUAACCUGGCAUUUCUCUACCAAACCAUUAACAAAUGAUUGGUUGUUCCCUCCCUUUUUCACUAUUCAUGGUAAUAAUGGACAAAGAGAAGGAUUAUUAAAUGCAUUUGUAUGUGUUACUUUUGAAUUAAGGUGGCAUAAAUAUUUCACAGAACAUCUUUUACAUUUCUUACAUGAGAAUAUGUAUGCAUGGAUCUAAGGUUUAAGUAUUACAUUUUGUGUAUGUAAAAUAGCACCAAUGUGUUAUGAAGGUGUAUGGUUUGAGUGGUUAAACAAUAUUGAAACACGUUUCUUGUAGGUGGCUUGUGUGUAGACAUGCCUUUAUCCAGUUUUAAAGACAACUGGAUAAAGACUAUCUUACUUGGAAGCCUGAUUUGGAGUCUGUCAUCACUCCUAUGUGCCAAUUACUAAGCAUGUGACGUGUCUCUCUAAAAGCCAAUGUUAAUGACUCUAGCUUGCUGUUAGAAUAGUCUAAUCAAAUUCCGAAAGCGACAGUCUCUUAUUUUAAAAUGUCAACCUGUUCACUUUUUGAUUGAAAAGAUUGUGAUGAUUCUGGAAUGAGUAGCUUAGUGUGUGUUUGAGGAAUCUUUUAUAUAGAGAGAGUGAAAAGCUCUGCAUGGUUACAUAAAACAGUCAUGAAACCUAAAAUUUUGAUUUGCCAGUUUUAUAAAAACAAGAUAACUCCCACCGAAACCUCAGAAUUGUAAUCACUCAAGUGUUCCAUGCAUUGUGCAUGAUGGAUAACAUAGGGAUAGACCCUGGCCUUCUAACUCCUGAAGCAACUUUUAAAUGGACGAACAUAGAUGUCUUUAAAAAAUAGAGCGUUUUCAGAAAGGAAGAGAGGAGUUCUGUUUCCUAUUUUAAUUUUUUAUUCCCCCUCACCCAAAUUUUAAGGGAAGCAUAUGUUGGGAGGGAGGGUGCAAACUAGUGAUUAAUUGCUGCACUUGUACCCAGAGUGAGCUACUUGAGCUUGCAAGUUAUUUAGAAUUUGAAAUGCACUUUCCCAAACAAUGUGAUCAGAUAGAGUUAGCUUGCUUCCUUCAUUUGGCCCUUCUUUCAUCUAUUUAACAGACACUUACUGAGUUACUCCUCAGUCCAGGCUCUGUCCCCAGGCCAGUCCACAAAAGCUUAAAGGAUAAUGCAUAUGUAUCGAAUAAACUAUAUUUUAAAAGCCAGGCCGGGUGCGGUGGCUCAAGCCUGUAAUCCCAGCACUUUGGGAGGCCGAGGAGGGUGGAUUAUGAGGUUAAGAGACCGAGACCAUCCUGGUCAAUAUGGUGAAUCCCCAUCUCUACUAAAAAUACAAAAAGUUAGCUGGGCAUGGUGGUGCAUGCCUGUAGUCCCAGCUACUCAGGAGGCUGAGGCAGGAGAAUUGCCUGAACCCAGGAGGCGGAGGUUGCGGUGAGCUGAGAUCGCACCAUUGCACUCCAGCCUGGGUAACAAGAGCAAAACUCUGUCUCAGGAAAAAAAAAAAAAAAAGCCUUCAACCACCGUUUUAGCUAGGUGCAUAUCU